rnacentral:tRNA from 1 species
GGGCGUGUGGCUCAGUGGUAGAGCGUCCGCUUUGCAUAAUUCAUAUGUCUGCGGAAGGUCCGGGUUUCGAUCACCCGCCCGUCCA